rnacentral:rRNA from 1 species
AUUGAACGCUGGCGGCAGGCCUAACACAUGCAAGUCGAGCGGAUGACGGGAGCUUGCUCCUUGAUUCAGCGGCGGACGGGUGAGUAAUGCCUAGGAAUCUGCCUGGUAGUGGGGGACAACGUUUCGAAAGGAACGCUACUACCGCAUACGUCCUACGGGAGAAAGCAGGGGACCUUCGGGCCUUGCGCUAUCAGAUGAUCCUAGGUCGGAUUAGCUAGUUGGUGAGGUAAUGGCUCAACAAGGCGACGAUCCGUAACUGGUCUGAGAGGAUGAUCAGUCACACUGGAACUGAGACACGGUCCAGACUCCUACGGGAGGCAGCAGUGGGGAAUAUUGGACAAUGGGCGAAAGCCUGAUCCAGCCAUGCCGCGUGUGUGAAGAAGGUCUUCGGAUUGUAAAGCACUUUAAGUUGGGAGGAAGGGCAGUAAGCUAAUACCUUGCUGUUUUGACGUUACCGACAGAAUAAGCACCGGCUAACUCUGUGCCAGCCGCCGCGGUAACAC